GGAUAGAGAGCUGGCUGGCAGGGUGCUUGGUCGGAUGUCGGAUGUUUGCCUGCUAGCUCGAGUUGCUGGUCGGUUGUGGGUUAAUUUUCGAGAAGGCAUGCCUUUUGUGAUGUUUAGGCCGGGCAUCGCGGCCACGUUGCGUAGGAUCUCGAACCUAGACAAGCGCAACGUGGUUACCACCAUAUGGUGUCGUUCGCAUUGCGACGAAGACACCAGGUACCGGCCGAACAGGAAAUCCAAGCACCCGGACCCGACGAUUUGGAUCAAGACCCUGUCCAGAACACCAACGUGCCAAUGAUUUGGAUCAUGACUCCGAUCCCAAAACACCAAGCAGCCGAGGAUUUGGAUCCUGACCAUGGCCCAAAGCGAGAAGGAGCCGACGAUUUGGAUCAACACGCCGAUCCCAAGCACCAUGGAGCCGACGAUUUGGAUCAAGACCUACAUCCCAAGCACCAAGGUGCCUGGUUGAUAUGGAUCGCGAUCCCGAUCCGGAGCUCCAGGGCGCCGAGGAUUUCGAUCACGAUCCUGAUCUGAAGCACCGAGUAGCCGAGGAUAUGGAUCAAGACCCCAGUCCGAAGCGACAAGGAGGCAAGGAUUUGGAUCACCACUCCGAUCAAAGGCACCAAGGCGUCGAGGGAUUGGAUUGAGAUCCCGAUCCCAAUCAUGAAGUUGGCUACGUAAUUUCCUGUUUUCCACACCGUUCAGGGCAUUUUGGUGGUCGUAUCGGCUUUUAGUUGCUUGCUUGGUGUUAGUGCCAAGGGAGUGGUUGGAAGCUAGGUCGUCCUCUGGAAUGCUUGUUGUAAAGGUGUAUGAGUUGUGUUUGGCUUGUUACGGGUGUUUGUUGGCUGCUUGUGCAGGAACUUUCAUGCGUGCAAGCCUCUUCAGUUGUGCUACAAGGCCUUGUUUGUCUUGUGCAUACGGUGGGUUUCCUGUGUUGCAUACCUAAUCAAGGGCAUCGUAUGGCUUGAUCGAAGUAAAAAUUCGUAAUGCGCCGCUUGCGGCGUUGCACGAACCUCGAAGUGGUCUCUGUGGCCCAUGUUGUCUUUGCUAACGUAUGGAUGGCAUGGCCCUCGGAGCGUCGCUUGGUCUCUUGGAUACGGAACCUGAUGAUGUGGGCGGUAGGGUCUUGGAUGAUUCUACCUUCGCCUUCCAUGAGCGUUCUCGCUUCUCUAAACGACCGUCUGUCAUGCGCCGGCAUGUCCGUGCAUGGUGGGCUUAGUCGAAGAGGAAUGCUAC
rnacentral:misc_RNA from 1 species